rnacentral:rRNA from 1 species
UACGUAGGUGGCAAGCGUUGUCCGGAUUUACUGGGCGUAAAGAGCGCGCAGGCGGUUGGAUUAGUCGCGUGUGAAAGCCCCCGGCUCAACUGGGGAGGGUCACGCGAUACUGUUCGACUCGAAGGCAGGAGAGGGAAGUGGUAUUCCCGGUGUAGUGGUGAAAUGCGUAGAUAUCGGGAGGAACACCAGUGGCGAAGGCGACUUCCUGGCCUGUUCUUGACGCUGAGGCGCGAAAGCUAGGGUAGCAAACGGG